rnacentral:tRNA from 1 species
GAAACGUUAGUUCAGCUGGAAGAAUGCCGGCCUGUCACGCCGGAGGUCGUGGGUUCGAGUCCCACACGUUUCG